GCAAACUUGGUCAUUUAGAGGAAGUAAAAGUCGUAACAAGGUUUCCGUAGGUGAACCUGCGGAAGGAUCAUUAUUGAAUUAAAAAAUGGUUAGAGAUUGUUGCUGACUUUUCAUUAGAAAAGUACGUGCACAUUUCUCUCCAAUUUUUCUAUUUCAUUCUCCUGUGCACUUCUUUUAUAAAUCUGAAUCCUAAUUAUCAAGAUUUUAUAUCUUGAUGUAGAGAGAAAUGCUGUAUUUAUAUAUACCGCUUUUCUUGUUGUUCAGAUUUAUAAAUCUUAUAAUACACAUAAUGAAUAAUGUUUAUGCAUUUAUUAUAAUUUGUUAAUACAACUUUCAACAACGGAUCUCUUGGCUCUCGCAUCGAUGAAGAACGCAGC
rnacentral:misc_RNA from 1 species